UGAAAACUAGAAAUACUUUACAUUUUGGACUGGAUUCAAACUUUUUGUUAAUUGUAUUUUCAAUCACAGACACUUGUUUAUUCUUGAGAGACACUUGUCACAGACAUGAGGCAAUAUUUGUGGUUGAUCAAGUGGUGCAUAAGGCUUUUGUUUUAAGGAAGUCAUUUCACAGAGCUGAAGGAGAAAAGCCAGGUGAGUGGAGGAAACAUGAUGUCCAUAGAAGAACUGAGAGGGGCCAUCUACCUGAUGGAAGAGGCCUGUCCUGGGAUCUUGGACACCGUGGUGGCCCAGCUCAUCCAGUGGCUACAGAGAUAUUCUCUAAGUGGUGGAGGAACUUCAUCCCAGUGAAAUUCCUUUGGCAUUUCAUUUUGUUGUUGUUGUUGUUUUUAAAAGUGGAGGAAGGGUAAAUUUGUCAUCUAUUUAGUCUGGGAUUUAUUAUAUACAUUGGCACUACUGGUUCUUUGGCCUUCCAGCUGGGAGUGGGACUUAAACCAAACCACUGGCUCUGCUUCUUGGGCCCUUGGACUCAUGCUGAUUUAUACCAUCAAUUUCCCUAGUUCUCUGGUUUGCAGAUGGCAGAUCUUGGGAUUUCUUGAUAAUAAUCCUCUAUAAUCCCAUGGGCCAAUUCCUAUAAUAAAAUCUGUCUCUCCCUCUCUGUGUGUGUCUCU
rnacentral:lncRNA from 12 species